rnacentral:misc_RNA from 1 species
UUUAGGUUACAAAAGUGGAAAAAAGAAAAACUAUGUAAGAGUCUGCAUGGAGAAGAUAAUUUCUUCCAAGUACCAUGAAAUAUGAAGGUUUAUUUCAAGUUACCAUUUGAAAUGGGAGGUACACAUACAUUUUACUGCAUCAAAUCCUGUAAGCACUUUUGUUGAGGUCAUUAAUUAUGGGUUUUCUUUUUUCCACUUUUGUAACCUAAA